UUCGUCCGAAUGGUUGCGACAGUGCCCUU
rnacentral:piRNA from 1 species